UACAGAGGUCCCAAGCGUUGUUCGGAUUCAUUGGGCGUAAAGGGUGCGUAGGUGGCGCCGUAAGUCAGGUGUGAAAUCUCGGGGCUUAACUCCGAAACGUGCAUUUGACUAACUGCGGUUGCUUGAGGACUGGAGAGGAGACUGGAAUUUACGGUGUAGCAGUGAAAUGCGUAGAGAUCGUAAGGAAGACCAGUGGCGAAGGCGGGUCGUCGUGG
rnacentral:rRNA from 1 species